UACUUUGAAAAAAAUACAUAUAUAUUUUGGAAUUUAUAUAAAUGGUAUUCCCAAUGUAAUGGAGCCAGCAAGAGUCGACAGAUCGUUGGUGAAAUAUCAGUUGAAAUAAGAAUCUGCACUUUUGGCACAGCUGCAGUACAGUGGCUCUAAAGUCUAAGGGAUUGGAAACCGGCAGAACUAUGGAGUGAAGCCAACUGUGUGAGGUGCCCUAGAGACGGAACAGACAUGGUUUUUGGGUCAUUUCCCAGUGAUUCUGAAACUUUUCCUGAAAAAAAUGUUGAGAUACAGGUGUCAAAGCUGAAACCCUGAGAAGCUAAGUAACUUGGGCGAAGUGACAGAGCCGAAGGGUGGUAGAAUCUGAACCAGCACCCAGGCCAUGGUGUGUCAGUGAAACAUAUGUCCUGCCUGAUUUUCUCCCUGGGUCAGAGGUGAAGAGGACUGACUAUUAAGAUUGAAGUAGCUAAAGGAGGAGCCAACCAAAUUUAACAUAUUUGAUAAAGUUUAUCAAUCAGUGGAGUCUGCUCUCUCAGGUGUGCUUGAGAGAACUUGGAAAGGUCUGAAGAGUAAAGCUCAUUGAAGGACUUCUACUCCUAGGAGGAAAUUCUGAUGCCUGGAAAAUCUAUUUGCUUGUUCCUUUUAAUUGAUAGAGUGCUAGAAGAUGAAGACACAAGAUAUAUAAGAAGCUUUCUGCCUUCAUGGACUUGACAACCCAGAAGGGAGACAGGGAGACAGACAUACCGACAUACAGACAUACAGACAUACAGACAUACAGACAUACAGACAUACAGACAUAAAUGACGAAUGCAAGAAUGGACAUACGUAUGAAAUAGAUGGACAGCACAUCUAUUGGGGAGAAAUUAGGGUACUGGAAAAAGCCCUUAAAAAGAUCAGUCCUAAUUUGGGGUCAAAAGAUGGAUUGGCAUUCACUAAGGCUUUCUGUAAACCUCAGAACUGAUUUUCCCACUGCAGCCUGCAAUCAUUUGCAUUAUUUUAUUGAAGGUGGAUGUGUCGUUACACUUUACCAUUGGUUGGCGCUGACCAUCAAAUGGGCUGUACUGUGACACUUUUCUAUUCUAACAACCAUGAAGAGAGAGCAGGAACUAACUGUAUUAGGUUGUUAUAAAACUGAAAAUUUGGGAAGUGGCUUUGAGGUUUUCAGAACCUAAUUUUAUUUUAUUUAGUGUAUUUUUGAGAUAAAGGUCUAGUAUAGUAUUGUGCAUCAGGUUAAUCUACCCCUGUAGACUUGGGAUCAUUUUGUCCCAUACAGUAUUUCACAGAGAAAAAUAUUGUUGUUCAUGUAGGCUCUAGAAUAUGCCCAAAGUCACACAGCAGGACUAGAAUUAUAAUAUAUUUUUUUUUUUUUUUAAUUCUUGGUGCAGUCUUUCUGCUACUUUAUAUCUUCUCCGAACAAACCUGUUAAGGCUUGCUCUUAAGAAAGAAACUCUUUCUUAAGAAUAAAAGCUAGUAGGGUUUGCAGUAAAAUUCUCGAGGAAUACAUUAAGAAUAGAGGAGGAUGUUAUGUGGAUGAGCCUUUUGUUUUAGCAAAUUGCCAGCUGGAUGUUUUCAUCAUUCUGAGUUGGGUACCCAGAUUCCACUGGAAGGGCUGGAUGGCUGCCAUUUUUCACCCAGAUGGUGCUCCCUGUGUCAGUUAAAUCAGGCAGAAGCUGUGGUCCUCAUGCAGAGUGACAGCACACCUAUUUCCAGCAUUCAGGAUUUUCAACAUACUGAAUUUGAGAUCAGGCAAUUAUUAGAAGUCAGAUUUUUUUCCCUCCUAAAUCUCAGGAGAUUAUUUUUUUGUUCUUCUUUACUGAGCCACCAUCUUCUCCCCUUUGUGACCUUCAUAAUAAGGUUAUACAGACCCCCUGUAGCUUUGAAUAAGAUUAUCAUAAGUAAAUAUGAAAAUGUUAAUGUGUAAGCAAACAAAAUAAAGAAAAGUUAAAACAUUUUUUUCUUAAAAAUUGAUGCUAGUGCUUGGUCCUUUCUAGUGGUGGGCACUCCAAAUAUGGAAUAGGCUUAGAAGGGGAAAUCUGCUUAUGUGGCAAUCAAAAUGACUCAUCCUAAAGUUUCAUUUAGAUAACAAGCCCACAUUUUAAAAAUUUUAUAUCUUAUUUGGAGUGGUUGAUUAGGGAACACUUGAUGGCAUUGUGGAAGGAAGGGUGAUAUUUCCCCUUACCAAGCUUUGUUAUUUACUGCCACUGGUUAUUUUUUUGUGUCUUUCCUGAUGCUCAGUGAAAUCUCUUCUAAUGAAUUUGCCACUGUCUUAGGAAACUUUCCUAACAAAUGAGAAGUUUCUUCAGCAUCUUUACUAGUGGUGUGUAGAAGGAAAAGCUAAAUUGACAUGGCAUACACCCACUAAAAUUUUGCUGUCUAAAACUGAGGAUGACACAGAAAGACAACUGUGUUUAAGCUCAGCUGCAAUCCAUUCCAUUUCUUUGGUGUCCAGCAGCCAUUUGCCAGAGCUUUGGGACUAGAAUAGCCUGUCAGUUAUCCUCGUGUCCAAUGUAGUUUAUUUUGGGGGAUGAGUGAAGUAGGAAGAAAAUACAACUUAUGGAAUUACUUGGACCUGGUAUGGAAAAAUGACUGGAAAAGGUGAAAUGUGAGUAAAGCUAAGAAAUGAAUAUAGGAGAAUAUAUGAAUACAGAAUAUAAGAAUAUAGAAGGCCCUAUUUUUUUUAGUAAUAGCUUUACUGAGGUAUUGUUCACAUACCAUACCCUUCACCCACUUAAAGUAUACAAUUCAGUAGUUUUAUUAUAGUCAUAGAGUUGUACAGUUAUUACCCCAAUUUUAGAAUGUUGCAUCACCUCCAGAAGAAACCUCGUAUGCUUUACAUGUCACCCCUCUGCUCCCUUCUGCCCCACCCCCACCACUAAGCAGCUACUAAUGUACUUUUUGUCUGUAUGGAUUUGCCCAUUUGGAAAAUUUUUAUAUAAAUGGUAUUAUACAAUUACAAUAUGUGGUCUUUUUGUCUGGCUUAGCAUA